CCUACGGGUGGCAGCAGUGAGGAAUAUUGGUCAAUGGGCGGGAGCCUGAACCAGCCAAGUCGCGUGAGGGAAGACGGUCCUACGGAUUGUAAACCUCUUUUGCCGGGGAGCAACGGGGUCCUUGCGAGGGCCCAAUGAGAGUACCCGGAGAAAAAGCAUCGGCUAACUCCGUGCCAGCAGCCGCGGUAAUACGGAGGAUGCGAGCGUUAUCCGGAUUUAUUGGGUUUAAAGGGUGCGCAGGCGGAGGUGCAAGUCAGCGGUCAAAUUGCGGGGCUCAACCCCGUACUGCCGUUGAAACUGCAUGCCUUGAGUGUGCGAGAAGUAUGCGGAAUGCGUGGUGUAGCGGUGAAAUGCAUAGAUAUCACGCAGAACUCCGAUUGCGAAGGCAGCAUACCGGCGCGCAACUGACGCUCAUGCACGAAAGCGUGGGUAUCGAACAGGAUUAGAUACCCUUGUAGUC
rnacentral:rRNA from 1 species